rnacentral:rRNA from 1 species
UGAGCAAUCUGCCCUUCUCUUUGGAAUAAGCGUUGGAAACGACGUCUAAUGCCGAACACGACCUCCUUUCGCAUGAUCGGAGGUGGAAAGCUCCGGCGGAGAAGGAUGAGCUCGCGGCCUAUCAGCUAGUUGGUGUGGGUAAUGGCCCACCAAGGCGACGACGGGUAGCCGGCCUGAGAGGGUGACCGGCCACACUGGGACUGAGACACGGCCCAGACUCCGUACGGGAGGNAGCG